UUGGCGAGAGCAUGGGUGGGGCUGAGGGGAUGGAGGGGCCAGCAGGGAGCACAGAGGGCUCUGGGACUGCAGCUCUGACAGGCCUUGGAACCAAUUCCAGAGCCUCCACUUUUGCCACAGCUGCAAAGAAAACCUUGAGAACAGCCGGAGACUGCCAGGAGCCAGCAGGGAGAAGCUGAGUGCCAGCAGCAGGAGCAGUGAGCAGGGCCCUGCUGCUGCCAGCCUGGAGAGAGCCCGGAUGUCCCAUCUGCUGUCCCUGUCCAGGAGAUGUGCCGAACUUCAUCUGCAGGAUCAGAAGAACCAGUGUCCUUUGGCCUCCCCCAGUUCCCACUGAGGACGAGAGCACCUGCAGAGCAGAGGAGACCAGCUGCAGCUCCAGGCCCAGGUCUUGCUGGUCACAGCUGAGCCUGUGUGAAAAGGUUUCUUAAGUUAUAGGUUAAAAUUCAACACAUAAUUCUACAAGCUAAAAUUUAAAUGCUGAAUUCAUAUUGCUAACUCAAGGGAGCUCCAAAAAUCUCUAUUUCAAAAGCAACAAACCUUUGAAAGGUUAAACCUCAACAGAGCUGUGAUCCUCCAUCAAUACCUCCUUCUUCCACUUGCUUAAAAUCUCUUUGUCCUGGGCACUCACUAAGGCCUUUUUCCUGGAAGCUCUCUGGCUGUCUUGAAUGCUUAUGGAGUAACAGGUAAUCCCUGAUCUAUUUUCAACUCUCUGCCCAGAGACUUCUGGAAGGGAGGUAGGACUGGUACUGGGGACCUGGCAGCUUGUCCAGGAAUCAAAAUUAUUGAAAUAAUGGUAAUGUGGACAAGGCAUGCAAGUCCAGGUGGUGAGCUCAAAUAUGCAAGUACUUGCAGUUUCCCCUCAGCACUUGACAGCUAAGGGGUAUGGUCUCUUCUUAUUUCUGUCUCUUAAUCUUCAAUCCUUGCCACACUCCUUCAACAUCUUUUGCAUUGUCAUCUUCCCUGUUUUCUCCCUCCCUUCUUCUUUCUGUGACUUUCUGUACACAACAGACUAUCUGUCACACUCUGUCAGCUUGCUCAGUCACCCGAGCAGUGAUAAUGAUGGUGUAGAAAUUGUAGGUGCACAGGAGGCAAAGGUGUCAUGCUUCUGUGUGCCCUCUGCAGGCAAAGCUGCUUCCCGAAGCUUCAGUCAAACUUGGAACAAAGGCUUGUCCCCACUGCAGGGACAAGAGAGGUAGGAAACUGGGCUCAUAAAACAUGCUUCUUCUGCUUCAACAAAAAACCGUGACUUCCCUUCACAGAGAAGGAUGUAAACUUUUUCUUGAAGGGAAUAAACAAAUCUCUUUAUGUCCUGAUCUUUUACCAGUCUGAAAUUAUUUAAAAAUGUCGUAAAUUUUGUUUGUUUGUUUGUUUCUUUGUGGUGUUUUUUUUUUUUGUUUGUUUUGGGGGUUUUUUGGGUUUGUUUUUUUUUUUGUUUGUUUGUUUGUUUGUUUUGUUUUGUCUUGUUUUGGUUUUUUUGGGGGUUUUUUUGGUUGUUUUUGGUUUUUUGGGUUUGUUUUUUUUUGUUGUUGUUGUUCUGGGGUUGGGUCUGCAUUUCAAGCCUGUUCUCCCAGCAGUCAGGGACCUGCACAGCUGCUGUGGGUGGGGCAGGUGCUCAGGUAAUUACCAACAGGUAAUUACUAACAGCCAGGUGAGAAGUUGGCUUGUGCCUGGUUGAGGGCUUGAGGACUGUGCUGAGAGAAGGGCUAGGGAGUGGAGUGGAAAAUACAAUUUACACAAGCAGGUAUAGGUGGAUGUCUGGGGUGUAGGUGGGAGUUAACUGGUUUAGGUACUGCAUUUAUGAAGAAUUGAACAUUUAACUCUGAGAUAGGACUAUUUAGUUGCUACUCUAAGUGCUGCAUUUACUAACACGUAAUGUAAUUUCUGCUGCUGUGGCAGAACCUGCUGUCCCCUGCGCUCGGAACAGGCGUGGAGGGUCCCCAAGGCAUCCUCAGAAUGGGCUUUGCCCUCACCUUGGCUUGUGCUGCUGCAGAUUUUGGAGACAAUUGUGCAUAAGAACGGGCACUAGAACCAGACUUGGGGCUGGCAUGCUCUGCAUUUCCAGAAUGGCUCAUGGACAGGGUAAGGUGGUAUCGGUGCACUCUGGGUGAAGCUGUGAUUCUAUGGAUACUUCAGUAAGAGAGGUUUUUUCAGGGUGAUUAAACUUUCGUCCUUGCUGUGCUUUCUAUGACAUUUGCAUCUCUAUUUUGUAAAACUUCAGAAAUCUGAAUCCUCUUUGGCCCUGUGAAAUGUUAAAAACGUCAGCAAAAGCCAUCAUAGUUUGCAUGCGAAAAUACAUAAUUUUUUACA